GUAAGUUAAUAAGGGCGUACAGUGAAUGCCUUGGCAUUAGAAGUCGAAGAAGGACGCGAUAACCUGCGAUAAGCUUGGGGAAGCUGGACAUAAGCAUUGAUCCCAAGAUUUCCGAAUGGGGCAACCCGGCAUGAGUCAUAUCAUGUCAUCCAUAACUGAAUACAUAGGUUAUGAGAAGUGAUACCUAGGGAAUUGAAACAUCUUAGUACCUAGAGGAAAAGAAAGAGAAUCGAUUCCGUCAGUAGCGGCGAGCGAAAGCGGAGGAGCCCAAACCACCCUAGAGGUGGGGUUAGGACCACAACAUGGAUGCAUUUAUUCGAGGAGAAUGGCAUGGGAAAGCCAACCAAAGAGGGUGAUAGUCCCGUAUCUAUAGGAGUAAAUGACCUAGUGGAAUCCAGAGUACGGCGAGGCACGUGAAACCUUGUCGGAAUGAGUGCAGACCAUUGCAUAAGGCUAAAUACUAGCUAAUGACCGAUAGUGAACCAGUACCGUGAGGGAAAGGUGAAAAGAACCCCGGGAGGGGAGUGAAAAGAAUCUGAAACUGUAUGCCUACAAGAAGUCAGAGGACGUUAAAGUCUGAUGACGUGCCUAUUGAAGAAUGAGCCGGCGAGUUAUGUUAUCGUGCAAGGUUAAGCAGAAGAUGCGGAGCCGUAGCGAAAGCGAGUCUGAACAGGGCUGCAGUACGAUGACAUAGACCCGAAACGGGAUGAUCUAGCCAUGAGCAGGUUGAAAGUGGAGUACAAUCCACCGGAGGACCGAACCGACGUUCGUUGAAACGCCCGCGGAUGACUUGUGGCUAGGGGUGAAAUUCCAAUCGAAUUCCGUUAUAGCUGGUUCUCCCCGAAAUAGUUUUAGGACUAGCGUCUGUAUAAAGAUGUGUGGAGGUAGAGCACUGAAUGCCGGAUGGCCGAGUUUAUCGGUACUGACUGCAAUCAAACUCCGAAUGCCAUACAUUAUGACAGGCAGUCAGAGUGUGGGAGAUAAGUUCCAUGCUCAAAAGGGAAACAGCCCAGACCGUCAAAUAAGGUCCCUAAGUUUAUGCUAAGUGUCAAAGGAUGUGGGAACGCUUAAACAACUAGGAUGUUAGCUCAGAAGCAGCUACCAUUUAAAGAGUGCGUAACAGCUCACUAGUCGAGUAUUCCUGCGCCGAAAAUUUACCGGGGCUCAAGCAUAACACCGAAUUUACGGAUUGAAAACAAUUUCAGUGGUAGGGGAGCGUUCCAUUUGCGGCGAAGCGAUACCGUAAGGAGUCGUGGAGCGGAUGGAAGUGAGUAUGCCGGCGUGAGUAACGUAACUGGGUGAGAAUCCCAGUCGCCGUUUGACUAAGGUUUCCUGGGCAAGGUUCGUCCACCCAGGGUUAGUCGGGAGCUAAGACGAGGCCGAAAGGCGUAGCCGAUGAACAACAGGUUGAUAUUCCUGUACCCGUACAUAUGCGAUGUAGUGACAGAUGGAGCUAAUCAAUCCUCCUAAUGGAUGGAGGUCCAAGCACAAUACGUGUAUCCCAGGCAAAUCCGGGGUGCAAAAGCGGAAGGUGUGAUGGGGAUGAAAGCCUUCGGGCGAGUAGGAAGUUGAUGAUGCGCUGUCUCGAGAAAAGCUGCUAGCUUAAGUAUGUGCGGCCCGUACCGAGAACGAACACACGUGGUCAAGGAGAGUAUCCUAAGGCGAGCGAGAUAACUAUUGUUAAGGAACUCUGCAAAAUUACUUCGUAAGUUAGCAAGAAGAAGUGCUGCAGCAAUGCAGUCGCAGUGAAGAGGCCCAGGUAACUGUUUAACAAAAACACAGCUCUAUGCUAAGUCGCAAGACGAUGUAUAUGGGGUGAUGCCUGCCCAGUGCUGGAAGAUUAAAAGGAGGGGUUAGCAGCAAUGCGAAGCUCUGAUCUGAAGUCCCAGUGAACGGCGGCCGUAACUAUAACGGUCCUAAGGUAGCGAAAUUCCUUGUCAGGUAAGUUCUGACGCGCACGAAUGGUAUAAUAAUCUGGGCGCUGUCUCGACAGUAGACUCGGUGAAAUCUUAUUACCUGUGAAGAUGCAGGUUACCCGCGACUAGACGGAAAGACCCCAUGGAGCUUUACUAUAGCUUAAUAUUGAAUAUUUGUAAGUCAUGCACAGGAUAGGUGGGAGGCUUUGAAGUAGGGACUUUGGUUUCUAUGGAGCCGUCGGUUGGAUACCACUCUUGGUUUAUGAAUAUUCUAACCUUGACCCUACACGGGGUUAGGGACAGUGUUAGGUGGGUAGUUUGACUGGGGCGGUCGCCUCCCAAAAAGUAACGGAGGCGCCCCAAGGUACCCUCAGCACGGUUGGAAAUCGUGCAUCGAGUGCAAAGGCAUAAGGGUGCUUGACUGCGAGACAGACAAGUCGAGCAGGGACGAAAGUCGGGCUUAGUGAUCCGGCGGUCCCGUAUGGAAGGGCCGUCGCUCAACGGAUAAAAGCUACCCUGGGGAUAACAGGCUGAUCGCGUCCAAGAGUUCACAUCGACGACGCGGUUUGGCACCUCGAUGUCGGCUCAUCGCAUCCUGGAGGGGUAGUCCCUUCCAAGGGUAUGGCUGUUCGCCAUUUAAAGCGGUACGCGAGCUGGGUUCAAAACGUCGUGAGACAGUUUGGUCCCUAUCUGUCGUGGGCGUAGGAAGUUUGACAGGAUCUGUCCUUAGUACGAGAGGACCGGGAUGGACAUAGCAAUGGUACACCAGUUGUUUCGCCAGAAGCAUAGCUGGGUAGCUACCUAUGGAAUAGAUAAACGCUGAAAGCAUCUAAGCGUGAAACUAGCCUGAAGAUGAGACUUCCCAUCGCAAGAGUAAGAACCCUCUAAAGUUAAGAGGUUGAUAGGACAUAGAUGUAAGUGCAGUGAUGCAUUGAGUCGAGUGUUACUAAUAGUUCGAGGACUUAAGAUA
rnacentral:rRNA from 1 species